AAGUCGUAACAAGGUUUCCGUAGGUGAACCUGCGGAAGGAUCAUUAACACGUAUCCAACGUUAAACAACCCUGUGAACUUUCAACCGCUCUUGUAGCCCACGCGGAACAGCAAUCCCGGUAAAUCAAUUGGAGAAAAGGUUUUGAUUCGGGACCUCUGUCAGGAGCAGUGGCAUGGUUUCCCUAAGCAGUGCAGAAGGAUCCACUGAGUAAGGAUAACGCCUCACGGUUGCCAGAGGUCGAUCACCGGCCGGCAGACAUGUCACAGGGCUAUAUGCCCCCUCAUUCACACCUUGCCCUAUCUGGCCCCACGGAAACGUUGGGGCACAAACCGAACAACUGUUAACAAUGGAUAUCUUGGUUCUC
rnacentral:misc_RNA from 1 species